rnacentral:rRNA from 1 species
UGCUGGAGGUAUCAGAAGUGCGAAUGCUGACAUAAGUAACGAUAAAGCGGGUGAAAAGCCCGCUCGCCGGAAGACCAAGGGUUCCUGUCCAACGUUAAUCGGGGCAGGGUGAGUCGACCCCUAAGGCGAGGCCGAAAGGCGUAGUCGAUGGGAAACAGGUUAAUAUUCCUGUACUUGGUGUUACUGCGAAGGGGGGACGGAGAAGGCUAUGUUAGCCGGGCGACGGUUGUCCCGGUUUAAGCAUGUAGGCUGAUUGUCCAGGCAAAUCCGGAUAAUCAAGGCUGAGGUGUGAUGACGAGGCACUACGGUGCUGAAGUAACAAAUGCCCUGCUUCCAGGAAAAGCCUCUAAGCAUCAGGUAACAUCAAAUCGUACCCCAAACCGACACAGGUGGUCAGGUAGAGAAUACCAAGGCGCUUGAGAGAACUCGGGUGAAGGAACUAGGCAAAAUGGUGCCGUAACUUCGGGAGAAGGCACGCUGGUGUGUAGGUGAAGCCCCUGCGGAUGGAGCUGAGACCAGUCGAAGAUACCAGCUGGCUGCAACUGUUUAUUAAAAACAC